AGGCGAACCGGGGGAACUGAAACAUCUAAGUACCCCGAGGAAAAGAAAUCAACCGAGAUUCCCCCAGUAGCGGCGAGCGAACGGGGAGGAGCCCAGAGCCUGAAUCAGCAUGUGUGUUAGUGGAAGCGUCUGGAAAGGCGCGCGAUACAGGGUGACAGCCCCGUACACAAAAGCGCAUGUGCUGUGAGCUCGAUGAGUAGGGCGGGACACGUGGUAUCCUGUCUGAAUAUGGGGGGACCAUCCUCCAAGGCUAAAUACUCCUGACUGACCGAUAGUGAACCAGUACCGUGAGGGAAAGGCGAAAAGAACCCCGGCGAGGGGAGUGAAAAAGAACCUGAAACCGU
rnacentral:rRNA from 3 species